rnacentral:rRNA from 1 species
AGUGAACGCUGGCGGUGGGCCUAACACAUGCAAGUCGAACGGCAGCACAGUAAGAGCUUGCUCUUACGGGUGGCGAGUGGCGGACGGGUGAGGAAUACAUCGGAAUCUACUUUUUCGUGGGGGAUAACGUAGGGAAACUUACGCUAAUACCGCAUACGACCUACGGGUGAAAGCAGGGGAUCUUCGGACCUUGCGCGAUUGAAUGAGCCGAUGUCGGAUUAGCUAGUUGGCGGGGUAAAGGCCCACCAAGGCGACGAUCCGUAGCUGGUCUGAGAGGAUGAUCAGCCACACUGGAACUGAGACACGGUCCAGACUCCUACGGGAGGCAGCAAUGGGGAAUAUUGGACAAUGGGCGCAAGCCUGAUCCAGCCAUACCGCGUGGGUGAAGAAGGCCUUCGGGUUGUAAAGCCCUUUUGUUGGGAAAGAAAAGCAGCAGGUUAAUACCCCGCUGUUCUGACGGUACCCAAAGAAUAAGCACCGGCUAACUUCGUG